UAGGGAAUCUUCGGCAAUGGACGAAAGUCUGACCGAGCAACGCCGCGUGAGUGAAGAAGGUUUUCGAAUCGUAAAACUCUGUUGGUAGAGAAGAACGUUGGUGAGAGUGGAAAGCUCAUCAAGUGACGGUAACUACCCAGAAAGGGACGGCUAACUACGUGUCAG
rnacentral:rRNA from 1 species